rnacentral:tRNA from 1 species
UCCCUGGUAAUCUAGUGAUUAGGACACAGCAUUUUCACUGCUGUGGCCUAGGUUCAAUCCCUGAUUGAGGAA